UGUGCAUCUAAAUCUCCUAGUAAGUGUUGGAAAAAGCUAAUGAUACUGAUCAUUAUCUGGGGGAAGCAUUUGUAUAUAAAACAUAAAUAUAGUCUCUUAUAAUCGAAAAUUCUUUCAGGAGCUGCUUCUGAGUAGAAGAAAACUCCCAAUGUAAAGAUCUGAACAAAGAACAAAAUGAAAUGUAUAUGGGUAUCCUUAAAGAUUACACAGAGAACAUUUUGUUCACCUGUAAAGGUAGGGAAAAAAAUGUUUCUGACUGUAUAUUAAAUUUGUUUUAGUAGUUUCAAAAAUUUAC
rnacentral:lncRNA from 1 species